rnacentral:rRNA from 1 species
AAUGGCAGGUCAGCAUACUGCCGUGAAUACGUUCCCGGGCCUUGUACACACCGCCCGUCCACACCAUGAGAGUUGGGAAUACCCGAAGCCUGUGAGCUAACGUUAAGAGGCAGCAGUCGAAGGUAGAAUCAAUGAUUGGGUGAAGUCGUAACAAGGUAGC